UGCACCUUGUUGGUUGCGAUAUUCAACAAUUGCAUUAGCUUUAGCUUGCCCUACUCCAGGAACAGACAUCAAUUCUGA
rnacentral:sRNA from 1 species